AAUUGUGGUCAUGCCACCUUGUCAACGUUUAAUCUCAGAAGCUAAACUAAGCAAGGUUGGGCCUGGUUAGUACUGGAAUGGGAAACCACUGGGAUACCAGGUGCCACAGUGG
rnacentral:rRNA from 1 species